rnacentral:rRNA from 1 species
CUAACUGCGUGCCUUUUGAAGAAUGAGCCGGCGAGUUAAUCUGAGCAGCUAGGUUAAGGGAUAUCAGUCCCGGAGCCGAAGCGAAAGCGAGUCCUAACAGGGCGCGACCUGGAUGGAGAUGAACCCAAAGGUUGAAGAUUCGUUGUGCGCUGAAGCCCGUUUAGGCGGGGUGAAGCAAUCGAUGGGCCGGACGCCGGAGGUGAAGUUUCCGUUAUGUCCGGGGUGUUGUCUGGAUUAGACCCGAAACCGGGUGAGCUACCCAUGGCCAGGUUGAAGCCCCGAUAAUAUCGGGGUGGAGGACCGAACCCGUGUAUGUUGCAAAAUGCUGGGAUGAGCUGUGGGUAGAGGUGAAAUGCUAAUCGAACCCGGAGAUAGCUGGUUCUCCCCGAAAUGUAUUUAGGUACAGCGUUCGGGUAGUCUUGUGGAGGUAGGGCACUGGAUAGGUAAAGGGGCGUGAGCCUACUAAACUUAACCAAACCACGAAUGCCGCAAGAUGGUCCCGGGCAGUGAGACAGUGGGGGAUAAGCUCCAUUGUCGAAAGGGAAACAGCCCAGAUCGCAGGCUAAGGUCCCCAAGUGUGUGCUAAGUGUGAAACGAAGUGAGAUUGCUAAAACAGCUAGGAGGUUGGCUUAGAAGCAGCCAUCCUUUAAAGAGUGCGUAAUAGCUCACUAGUCGAGGAAUUUUGCGCGGAAAAUGUAACGGGGCUAAAGCACACCACCGAAGCCGCGGGCCCGCUUUGCGGGCGGUAGGGGAGCGUUGUCAGGGCGUCGAAGCUAGAUCGUGAGGUCUGGUGGAGCGCUGAGAAGUGAGAAUGCCGGCAUGAGUAGCGACAAUCCUGGUGAGAAUCCAGGACACCGAAAGCAUAAGGUUUCCUACGCAAUGCUGAUCAGCGUAGGGUAAGUCGGGCCUAAGCCGUAGCGUAUAGCGAAGGCGAUGGACAGCAGGUCAAAAUUCCUGCACCGCAGACAUAGCGUUUUAAAGCAAAGGGGGGACACGGAAAGAUAGGCGGAGCGCACCCAUCGGACAUGGUGCGUCGGACCCUGAAGGCCAAGCUGGGAUAGGCAAAUCCGUUCCAGCGUGAUGAGCUGAGGGGGUUGGAAACUCCAGGGCUUAUGCCCGGGGGAAUUCCGUUGAUUCUAUGCCGUCGAGAAAAUCCUCGUUGCAAGUUUUGUCAGCGUCCGUACCGCAAACCGACACAGGUAUGUAGGGGUAAGUAUCCCAAGGUGAACGAGAGAACCCUCGUUAAGGAAUUCGACAAGUUGACUCCGUAACUUCGGGAUAAGGAGUACCCGUGGGGUGAAAGUCACUAGCUGACUGGAUGCCCUUGCGGGUGGCACUAAACAGGCUCAGGCGACUGUUUAUCAAAAACACAGGUCUCUGCUAAAGCGAAAGCUGAUGUAUAGGGGCUGACACCUGCCCAGUGCCGGAAGGUUAAGGGGAUGGGUUCGUUCGCUUGCGAACAAAGCUCAGAACCGAAGCCCCGGUGAACGGCGGCCGUAACUAUAACGGUCCUAAGGUAGCGAAAUCCCUUGUCGGGUAAGUUCCGACCCGCACGAAU